AGUCUUAUAGUCAAUAAUGAUUUAAAAUUGCAAAUUUUAAGGAAAAAUAUAAAAUUUUUAAGGCUU
rnacentral:tRNA from 1 species